rnacentral:rRNA from 1 species
CCUACGGGUGGCAGCAGUGAGGAAUAUUGGUCAAUGGGCGCGAGUCUGAACCAGCCAAGUAGCGUGAAGGAUGACUGCCCUAUGGGUUGUAAACUUCUUUUAUAAAGGAAUAAAAUGAGGCACGUGUGCCUUUUUGUAUGUACUUUAUGAAUAAGGAUCGGCUAACUCCGUGCCAGCAGCCGCGGUAAUACGGAGGAUCCGAGCGUUAUCCGGAUUUAUUGGGUUUAAAGGGAGCGUAGGUGGAUUGUUAAGUCAGUUGUGAAAGUUUGCGGCUCAACCGUAAAAUUGCAGUUGAAACUGGCAGUCUUGAGUACAGUAGAGGUGGGCGGAAUUCGUGGUGUAGCGGUGAAAUGCUUAGAUAUCACGAAGAACUCCGAUUGCGAAGGCAGCUUACUGGACUGCAACUGACACUGAGGCUCGAAAGUGUGGGUAUCAAACAGGAUUAGAUACCCUUGUAGUC